rnacentral:rRNA from 1 species
AACGAACGCUGGCGGCAUGCCUAACACAUGCAAGUCGAACGAAGCCUUCGGGCUUAGUGGCGCACGGGUGCGUAACGCGUGGGAAUCUGCCCUUUGGUUCGGAAUAACAGUUGGAAACGACUGCUAAUACCGGAUGAUGACGAAAGUCCAAAGAUUUAUCGCCAGAGGAUGAGCCCGCGUAGGAUUAGCUAGUUGGUGUGGUAAAGGCGCACCAAGGCGACGAUCCUUAGCUGGUCUGAGAGGAUGAUCAGCCACACUGGGACUGAGACACGGCCCAGACUCCUACGGGAGGCAGCAGUGGGGAAUAUUGGACAAUGGGCGAAAGCCUGAUCCAGCAAUGCCGCGUGAGUGAUGAAGGCCCUAGGGUUGUAAAGCUCUUUUACCCGGGAUGAUAAUGACAGUACCGGGAGAAUAAGCCCCGGCUAACUCCGUGCCAGCCGCCGCCGCCG